rnacentral:rRNA from 1 species
CUUGUACACACCGCCCGUCAAGCCAACAAAGUUGGGGGCACCCGAAGUCAGUUGUCUAACCCGCAAGGGAGGACGCUGCCGAAGGUGAACUCAGCGAUGGGGACUUAA